CUUCUGGGUCACCUGGUUCGUGUCUGAGAUUAGCUCCUGCAAUUCGACCUCCAGGAGGCUGAUCCAGUGCUCCAAGAGGUCCUUGUGUUCUGGAGACGCAAUCAGCAUCUAAUAUUGAGGAGCAUAAGCAGUUAUCACAGCCUGCCCUGGUACUUCUACGAGGGAUCGUUUGGUAGAGAAAGGUGUGAGCAGGAGCUUGGCCAUCAGGGCGUUGAGCGGACAUUGGCACUUCUACGACAGCGGUGCUUCUGACCCGGUAUGUCGGUAGAGGAAGCUGAAUGGUGUAAGAUAAACACCAAACUAAAAUGAGCAAAAAAUAUGGAUACUGAAAUAAAGGAAAAUGAGGAUCACACCAGGAACUGGCGACCUGUUGGAGAGUCACGCCAUGC